rnacentral:lncRNA from 12 species
AUGGAAGAAGCUGUGCAAUGGUUUGUACCAGCAGACCACAAGGAGUCUUUCCACAAGAGCGCCACGUUAUUGUAUAUUUGGCCUUCAAAUAUUUUUACUGAAGUGGAGGCCAUUUGGAAAGGCUCUCAGAUAGGAGAGCCUAGCCUGUUUGACCUAGUCUCAUUUCCCUACUCAGGUCAUCAGAGCCUGUGUGGCACUGCCCACAAGUCCUUGGUGGGUUCUGGAGCUGUCCAAGGUUCCAAAGUUCCAGGGAGGGAGCCUGCAGCAGUCAGAGGGCUCUGGGCUCUGCUUCAACUCAGUACUGUGAGAGAAGGGAUGUGAUCCUGAGAAUACUGUAAUGUGGAAACCCUGAGUUCAUGAUUUCCACUCAUCUGCCUUCUGGGGACGCUGAUAAAUGGAGCUGG